ACAUUGUAUAGACUAGUUUAAUGUGUUAUUGAAUAUACAGCUGGAACAUGGCGGCACACUCAUCAUCAGAAAAUAAUGAAGCUAUCAAAUUCUACACGUCAUGAAUUAGUGUUAGGGGCAAAAAAAAAGAUCACUUACCAACUAAUAUACAAUUAGCUAUAAUAUUGUGAUAUUGCUGCUUCAUUCCAGGUAAAAGUGCAACCCAACAAGGGAGAAACUGAUAUUCCACCAGGCUGAUUCAAUUUUUUGUAAUGAUAAGAGAUUCUGCAUCACCACAAAGUCAACAAAUAAAAGGCAGAUCUAAGUGUCAUCUCUUCUUCUUUGAUGCAUGAGAACUAUGUUUCGAGAAUAAAUUCAUCCUGAAAAAUCCCGACGUCUUGGAAGAUUUCUUUUCUUUAGGGUGCUGGUU
rnacentral:misc_RNA from 1 species